UACGUAGGGGUGCAAGCGUUUGUCCGGAAUCAUUGGGCGUAAAGAGCGUGUAGGCGGCUUGUUAAGUCUUGCGUGAAAAUCUCGGGGCUCAACCCCGAGCGGUCGUGAGAAACUGGCAGGCUAGAGUGCGGGAGAGGAGAGUGGAAUUCCUGGUGUAGCGGUGAAAUGCGCAGAUAUCAGGAAGAACACCCGUGGCGAAGGCGGCUCUCUGGAACGCAACUGACGCUGAGACGCGAAAGCGUGGGGAGCAAACAGG
rnacentral:rRNA from 1 species